CUGAAGAUGAUCUGACUGAGAAUGAAGAAAACAUAGAAGAGGAGGAAGAGGUAGAGGAGGAGGAGGAGGAUGACGACGAUGAUGUGAUAGUAGAAAAAUCAUCCCCACAGACAUGUCAUCUUGUUGCUGAAGAUUCUAAAUAUCAGGAUGAUGAUGGUGAUGAUGAUGAUAUUGAUGAUGAUAUUGAGGGUCUUCUUGCUCCACAAAAUAACUCUCUUCAACACCAGGCAGAUGAAAAGGAAGAAAUACUCAAAUCAAAAGGUUUACCCAGUGAUUCAGAAGAAAAUGUGGAAGGUAAAGAUGAGCCCGUGGAUACUGGUGAUGAAUUUGACCAUUUUUAUGAUUAGUUCCAUUUGCCCAAUGCACACUGGAGAUGAAGGUGGACUCAUCAAUGACAAACUACAAGAAGAUCAAACAUUAUUCAGGACUUCUCCAUAGAUAAAAACUCUCAUAUCUCAUAUCUGCCUGUAAUAGGACUGAAGCUCCAGCAAUUCUGUGCUUCCAGGAUAUGAACAAGGUUUAUAACCUAUACAGCAAACACAGACAAGCAGACUGAAAGAUUAAUAGAGAACAACACAGAGAAUUACAAAGAGAUGAAAGGACAAACCGGUGCAGGGAAUCCCUCAGGCUUUUAUGUUAUUUGCUGGGAGCUUAUCGGCUUGCCCUGAAAGAACCACAGUACUGUCACUGUGCAAACACAGGUGGGUCUGCUCGGGCGACAGAACGAGAAAGAGAUAUGAAGGAGAAUAAUAGAAAAAAAGGGAAUAGAUCACAAUGGAGGCUGUUAAAUGAAAAGAGAAUUGUGAAAGAGAAUUGUGAGGAGAAAACAGACCAUCUCUCAUUACACAUCAUGCAGAAACGGCAUUUCUUAUUUCUGAAAUAACCCUACCAGUAUCCACAGUGCGUUAUAUGUGUAAUUUGAAUGUAGAAAGGCUUAGAACGCUUUCAUAUUUAGAUUGGAAGCACAGCCUAGAGGAGGAGGGUGAGUUGGAGUCCGGGCAGUGAGAGGAGGCCGGAGUGAGGGGGUAAUGGGGCUGAGCGAUGGCUGUUUAAGCGAUGGCUGUUUGAACAGGCAUGUUUGCAUGGAUGAAAAGGGACAGAGAAACGCUAGCAGAGAUGCACAUUAACAGACAGACGAUGAAAAAAAGCUGCCACUGUGUAAACUGCACCGGCCCAGUCUUUCCUUCUGGUGGCCAUGACAACGCUGCAGAAGCUACUCUUUGCCCAGUCACAUGCCCUCCUUUUGACAUGAGGAACAAAACGUCUCCAAUGUGGCAAGUCAAAGCAGACAUUUUGAAUCCGUUAGUGCUGUAAACCAACUGCUACAAGCAUUGUUCUUUUUCACUGUUUCCCUGAAUAGCAAACAUUCUGUAAUAAGUUCUUUUAGCUGAAAGUUUUUUUUUUUAUUCUAA